AUUGAACGCUGGCGGCAUGCCUUACACAUGCAAGUCGAACGGCAGCACGGACUUCGGUCUGGUGGCGAGUGGCGAACGGGUGGGUAAUGCAUCGGAACGUACCCGGUAGUGGGGGAUAACUACCCGAAAGGGUGGCUAAUACCGCAUAUACUGUGCGCAGGAAAGCAGGGGACCUUCGGGCCUUGUGCUACCGGAGCGGCCGAUGUCAGAUUAGGUAGUUGGUGGGGUAACGGCCUACCAAGCCUGCGAUCUGUAGCGGGUCUGAGAGGAUGACCGGCCACAUUGGGACUGAGACACGGCCCAGCCUCCUACGGGAGGCAGCAGUGGGGAAUUUUGGACAAUGGGCGCAAGCCUGGUCCAGCCAUGCCGCGUGAGUGAAGAAGGCCUUCGGGUUGUAAAGCUCUUUCGGACGGAAAGAAAUCGCGCAGGCUAAUACCCUGCGCGGAUGACGGUACCGUCAUAAGAAGCACCGGCUAACUACGUGCCAGCCGCCGCCGUAAUAC
rnacentral:rRNA from 1 species